AAAAACCACUAAACAAAAUAAAACUAUUAGAAGCCUUUUAAGAGGAAAAAAUAAUUUAUUCCUCUGCAUACAAUGCUAUGCAAUUACGAAGCUCCCCAUCCAACCUACAAUGUCAUUUAAAAUAUCAGAGGUGAUAUUUCUGAACGACAUCAUACUCAUCAUGGAGGUUAGAUGAAACAUACUUUGAUUUUCUUACGUUUACAAAUUUGUUAGGUUACUGAUCAUAGUAAUAUUCUGAUCAAAAACCUUUACUUUAAAAUUAUCUUUUAUAGUUUUAUUAUCACAGUAAUAUUCAGAUCAAAACACCUAACUUUCCUCAUAAUGCAAACUUCAUCGACACAAUAAUCAAACCAAGCACCAUGAUAUGUAUGGUUUUUAGCUUCCAUGAUGAUUCUAUGAAAAUAAGUGUGAAUCGACAGCCUAUGAAAAUGGCUAACAGUGCAACAAAGCUAAGCAUGGAAAUAUCCUUUGGAAACCAAGCACUAUAGGUAUCCAGCCCAUUUGAUUGCCUAAGUUCAUUCCAAGUGCUCAUUUAAAAGGAAACCCCCAAUGGUAAACUAAAAACCCUGCAUAGAAAAGAGUAUAUCACAGGGUAGCAGCCCAAUGCUCGCAACAUUGAGACCUGAAAGAAAGCUAAGAGAACAGGUUCACUUCUUUGAUAACAUUUGCUUAAAGGCAAGGUAUCCACAUUUAUAAUCUGUCCUCCAUAAAAGGGGCAACCCGCAAACAGAUUACCAUUGGCGUGCCAACUUUCACACCAAAUAUGGAAUUUUUUUGGUUUUUCCUAUCCCCCAACACAUGUGAUAACGGGCCUCAAUUAAGCCCAAAACCUUCAGGAUUUCCCUCCAACUGAAAGAGAAUGUCUCUUUAGCUAGCGCUCCACCAGUCAGGUCCUCGAAUGUGCGUUAAUUAGCAAUAGUGUUGCGUGAAUGCUAAAAACACAGUCCGUCAAACCACAUCUCAUUCCUUUCAAAUGAGAAGCAUUCUACCACUCUAGAGUCGGGACAUUUCAUCAAGUUUGUCUUACUGAUAACCCAAUUCUAACUUUGAAUCAUUGUUUUCCAGUUAACACAUUAGAAAAAAUCAUCAAAGCACAUCGAUAGUAAAUACAAAACAAGAACAAGCUUGCCACUUGAAUCCCCGAAACCCGUGUUCUCGACACAAAAUUAACAGAGAAAGAAGGAACAGGUAAUAAGCAAUACCA
rnacentral:misc_RNA from 1 species